GGAGCGGCCAUGGCUUACUGGUCAUGGCGUUCGCUUUGUAAGCGAAUGGCCGUGGGUUCGAUUCCCAUCUGCUCCC
rnacentral:tRNA from 1 species